AGAGUUUGAUCCUGGCUCAGGAUGAACGCUAGCGACAGGCUUAACACAUGCAAGUCGAGGGGCAGCAUAAAAGGUAGCAAUACUUUGGGUGGCGACCGGCGCACGGGUGCGUAACGCGUAUGCAACCUGCCCAUAAGCGUGGGAUAACCCGGCGAAAGCCGGCCUAAUACCGCAUAAGACCAUACCGCCGCAUGGCAGAUAAGGUUAAAGGAGCGAUCCGCUUAUGGAUGGGCAUGCGUUCCAUUAGAUAGUUGGUAGGGGUAACGGCCCACCAAGUCAGCGAUGGAUAGGGGUUCUGAGAGGCCCCCACACUGGAACUGAGACACGGUCCAGACUCCUACGGGAGGCAGCAGUGAGGAAUAUUGGUCAAUGGUCGGAAGACUGAACCAGCCAAGUCGCGUGAAGGAAGAAGGAUCUAUGGUUCGUAAACUUCUGGGGGAAUAAGUAUGGGGACGUGUCCCUGUUUAUUGCAUGUACCCCAUGAAUAAGCAUCGGCUAACUCCGUGCCAGCAGCCGCGGUAAUACGGAGGAUGCGAGCGUUAUCCGGAUUUAUUGGGUUUAAAGGGUGCGUAGGUGGAUGUUUAAGUCCGCGGUGAAAGGUUGUCGCUUAACGAUAAAAUUGCCGUUGAAACUGGAUAUCUUGAGUAUGUUUGAAGUAGGCGGAAUGCGUGGUGUAGCGGUGAAAUGCAUAGAUAUCACGCAGAACUCCGAUAGCGAAGGCAGCUUACUAAACCAUAACUGACACUGAAGCACGAAAGCGUGGGUAUCAAACAGGAUUAGAUACCCUGGUAGUCCACGCAGUAAACGAUGAUAACUAGGAGUUUGCGAUAGACAGUAAGCUCUACAGCGAAAGCGUUAAGUUAUCCACCACGCCGGCAACGGUGAAACUCAAAGGAAUUGACGGGGGCCCGCACAAGCGGAGGAACAUGUGGUUUAAUUCGAUGAUACGCGAGGAACCUUACCCGGGUUUGAACGCAGACCGUCCGGGGGUGAAAGCCCCUUUCUGGCAACAGCGGUUUGCGAGGUGCUGCAUGGUUGUCGUCAGCUCGUGCCGUGAGGUGUCGGCUUAAGUGCCAUAACGAGCGCAACCCUUACCGUUAGUUACCAUCAAGUGAAGUUGGGGACUCUAGCGGGACUGCCGGCGUAAGCUGCGAGGAAGGUGGGGAUGACGUCAAAUCAGCACGGCCCUUACAUCCGGGGCGACACACGUGUUACAAUGGUGGGGACAGAGGGCUGCAAACUGGUGACAGUGCGCGAAUCCCAAAAACCCCAUCUCAGUUCGGAUCGAAGUCUGCCCCGACUUCGUGAAGCUGGAUUCGCUAGUAAUCGCGCAUCAGCCAUGGCGCGGUGAAUACGUUCCCGGGCCUUGUACACACCGCCCGUCAAGCCAUGGGAGUUGGGGGUACCUAAAGUCCGUAACCGUAAAAGGAUCGGCCCAGGGUAAAACCGAUGACUGGGGCUAAGUCGUAACAAGGUAGCCGUACCGGAAGGUGCGGCUG
rnacentral:rRNA from 1 species